rnacentral:rRNA from 1 species
AUACGUAGGGGGCGAGCGUUGUCCGGAAUGAUUGGGCGUAAAGGGCGCGUAGGCGGCCUGUUAAGUCUGGAGUGAAAGUCCUGUUUUCAAGAUGGGAAUUGCUUUGGAUACUGAUGGGCUUGAGUGCAGGAGAGGUUAUCGGAAUUCCCGGUGUAGCGGUGAAAUGCGUAGAGAUCGGGAGGAACACCAGUGGCGAAGGCGGGUAACUGGACUGCAACUGACGCUGAGGCGCGAAAGGGUGGGGAGCAAACAGGAUUAGAUACCCUGGUAGUCCACACUGUAAACGAUGAAUGCUAGGUGUAAGAGGUAUCGACCCCUUUUGUGCCGGAGUUAACACAAUAAGCAUUCCGCCUGGGGAGUACGGCCGCAAGGUUGAAACUUAAAGGAAUUGACGGGG